rnacentral:rRNA from 1 species
UUCCAGACUCCUACGGGAGGCAGCAGUGGGGAAUAUUGCGCAAUGGGCGAAAGCCUGACGCAGCGACGCCGCGUGAGGGAUGAAGGUUCUCGGAUCGUAAACCUCUGUCGGAAGGGAAGAAAUUAUAUCAUGCUAAUCAGUGGUGUAUUGACGGUACCUUCAAAGGAAGCACCGGCUAACUCCGUGCCAGCAGCCGCGGUAAUACGGAGGAUGCGAGCGUUAUCCGGAUUUAUUGGGUUUAAAGGGUGCGCAGGCGGAAUGUCAAGUCAGCGGUAAAAUUUCGGGGCUCAACCCCGUCGUGCCGUUGAAACUGGCGUUCUUGAGUGAGCGAGAAGUAUGCGGAAUGCGUGGUGUAGCGGUGAAAUGCAUAGAUAUCACGCAGAACUCCGAUUGCGAAGGCAGCAUACCGGCGCUCAACUGACGCUCAUGCACGAAAGCGUGGGUAUCGAACAGGAUUAGAUACCCCGGUA